AUUGUUCGCAAUGGGCGCAAGCCUGACGACGCAACGCCGCGUGGAGGAUGAAGGUCUUCGGAUUGUAAACUCCUGUUGCCCGGGACGAAAAGCUUUGACCUAACACGUCAAAGUCUGACGGUACCGGGUGAGGAAGCCCCGGCUAACUCUGUGCCAGCAGCCGCGGUAAUACAGAGGGGGCAAGCGUUGUUCGGAAUUACUGGGCGUAAAGGGCGCGUAGGCGGCCUGCUAAGUCGAACGUGAAAUCCCCGGGCUCAACCCGGGAACUGCGUCCGAUACUGGUGGGCUUGAAUUCGGGAGAGGGAUGCGGAAUUCCAGGUGUAGCGGUGAAAUGCGUAGAUAUCUGGAGGAACACCGGUGGCGAAGGCGGCAUCCUGGACCGAGAUUGACGCUGAGGCGCGAAAGCCAGGGGAGCAAACGGG
rnacentral:rRNA from 1 species